ensembl:lncRNA
CGUUGCUAGGCAACGGGGUCGGUCUGAAGAAGGGUUGUUGCCUGGUUGAUUGUGUGAUGGCGGUGAUGGGAGGUGCGUGCUGACAGAGCUGCUGCCACUAGAUGUCGUCAUAUACCAUCCGUGGGAAACAUUGAAAUACUGAAAGUGCUCAUUUAGGGAGUCACUGGUUGAGGAGUGCAAGGUCAGAGGGAAAACCAGAAAGUGCCAACCGGGCAGACACAGGUCUGAUAAGGAUGAGAGCGACUGUGAGGCAAACCUAAGAGCCGAACCUAAUUACAAGUCGUGCAAAUCAGAAGACACCUUCAAAGACGGAGUCUGAACGACUAGAAUCUGCAGAAUGUGUAUGCUGGCGACAACGGCAGGUCAGCUACCUUCCCUCUCAUCAAUGAUGGGGUGGAGGCAUUACGUGGUACACCAAAAAGGGGGGGGAGAACAGUCAACCUGCGGUCAGCCUCAAGAGGUAUCUGACCUCAGACGUCCGAAGGUCAAGACAAAGAGCUCCUGAGGACAGGAGAUGAGAUGCUGUAAGAUGUGACUUCCUGGUGGGAAAGAUAGGAGUCAAACCUUGAACUGAGACUGAACUCUUGAGUUGAACCAUGACCCCAUAAAUCACAAUUUAAGUAAAUGUACCAGAAUAAAGCAUGAUGAUUGG